rnacentral:rRNA from 1 species
CCUACGGGGUGCUGCAGUGGGGGAUAUUGCACAAUGGGGGAAACCCUGAUGCAGCGACGCCGCGUGUGGGAAGACGGUCCUCUGGAUUGUAAACCACUGUCCCCAGGGACGAAGAUGACGGUACCUGGGGAGGAAGCUCCGGCUAACUACGUGCCAGCAGCCGCGGUAAUACGUAGGGAGCGAGCGUUGUCCGGAAUUACUGGGUGUAAAGGGAGCGUAGGCGGGACUGCAAGUUGGGUGUCAAAUCUACCGGCUCAACCGGUAGCCGCACUCAAAACUGCAGUUCUUGAGUGAAGUAGAGGCAGGCGGAAUUCCUGGUGUAGCGGUGAAAUGCGUAGAUAUCAGGAGGAACACCGGUGGCGAAGGCGGCCUGCUGGACUGCAACUGACGUUGAGGCCCGAAAGCGUGGGGAGCAAACAGGAUUAGAUACCCUUGUAGUC